rnacentral:rRNA from 1 species
CCUACGGGAGGCAGCAGUGGGGAAUAUUGCACAAUGGGGGAAACCCUGAUGCAGCGACGCCGCGUGAGUGAAGAAGUAUUUCGGUACGUAAAGCUCUAUCAGCAGGGAAGAAAAACAGGCCUUAGGGCCGCCAGACGGUACCUGACUAAGAAGCACCGGCUAACUACGUGCCAGCAGCCGCGGUAAUACGUAGGGGGCAAGCGUUAGCCGGAUUUACUGGGUGUAAAGGGAGCGUAGACGGCAGUGCAAGUCUGGAGUGAAAUCCCGGGGCCCAACCCCGGAACUGCUUUGGAAACUGUGCAGCGGGAGUGCAGGAGAGGUAAGCGGAAUUCCUGGUGUAGCGGUGAAAUGCGUAGAUAUUAGGAGGAACACCAGUGGCGAAGGCGGCUUACUGGACUGCAACUGACGUUGAGGCCCGAAAGCGUGGGGAGCAAACAGGAUUAGAUACCCCUGUAGUC